AUUGAACGCUGGCGGCAUGCUUUACACAUGCAAGUCGAACGGCAGCGCGGGCUUCGGCCUGGCGGCGAGUGGCGAACGGGUGAGUAAUACAUCGGAACGUGCCCAGUAGUGGGGGAUAGCUCGGCGAAAGCCGGAUUAAUACCGCAUACGACCUGAGGGUGAAAGCGGGGGAUCUUCGGACCUCGCGCUAUUGCAGCGGCCGAUGGCAGAUUAGCUAGUUGGUGGGGUAAAGGCCUACCAAGGCGACGAUCGGUAGCUGGUCUGAGAGGACGACCAGCCACACUGGGACUGAGACACGGCCCAGACUCCUACGGGAGGCAGCAGUGGGGAAUUUUGGACAAUGGGCGAAAGCCUGAUCCAGCAAUGCCGCGUGUGUGAUGAAGGCCUUCGGGUUGUAAAGCACUUUUGGCGGGAACGAAAAGGACUGUGCCAAUACCACGGUUCGAUGACGGUACCCGCAGAAUAAGCACCGGCUAACUACGUG
rnacentral:rRNA from 1 species